AUGGUACAGGAUUUUACUAGCUGGAGACGCAGCUCUUUUCUACUAACUAAGGUAAUGAGGAUGCAAUGUGAAGACUUCAGGCACCUCCCAGAUUCUGUCCUCAAGCGACCAGCUGGACUACAGAUGACCUCAGUGAGGUGGUUAAAAGUCACAGUUGAGGAUCCUUGGAAUCUGUAUGCCAGACAGAGCCACAGUCUAUUUGAGGGAUGGAAGUCGUGGCUGAUCUCCAAACCAAAACAAGGAGCUACACCUCAACCUCCCUAUUUUGCAAGCCACUGCCCUAGAGCAUAUAAGAGUCCUCUGCCCAUCAAAAAAAAACAAGUACCAAGAUCUGAUGACCUGCUCAACUACUUGACAGCUGCUGCACGCUCUUUUAUGACUCACUGCAGAGUGAAUAAUUUGUUGUUAAACCAAGCUACAUAAUUAACAGUUUUUUCUGUGAGUUUAUGAUCCCCUGAACCUGUAUAGUAUAUUGAAUCUGAAUACAUUUCAGUAGACAUGUCACCCCUAUUGUAGGAAAUUAAAUGUAUAGUAAGUAGGUGUUUUCUAUGUGAAUCAAUUUGUGCAUGAUUAGGUUAUGUACAAUGUGUUCUGUUGAGAAUUAUUUUGUGUGAACCUUUUUUAAUUUGAACCUUUUUUAAAUCUGAAUGAAUUAAAAACAAAUAAGUCAUCACAUACAGUAUGUGAGUAUUCAUUUGAUCUUGAUUCCCUUUUUUUAUUCAUUACAAUAUACGGUACGUCUCUCUGUCACCACAUUUAGCAUUAACUCUAAGCAGUUAAUACUUAUUUACUGUUGUCACCUCAGUACAGAAGGACAUGUCUUGCCUUUAGCAUGGGUUUAACGCAAUUCAAAACUUAAUUGCUGAUCAUAGUGUUAAACGCAAAGAGAAUGGUUUUCUGAACGUUUUGUAAUAUUGACCUUGGGGACCUGCAUAAUGGACAUGCAUAUUGGCACAUCACAUUGAUCCAUAUUUGAUAUGUACAAGUUGUGCUUGUUUUGAUUGAAUUAAUUUAAUUGUAUUCUAUUUUUGUAGUUAUUCUAUGGUAACAUUGAGGGCUUUAUUUUAAAUGAGACUAAGAUUUCAUGACUCAACUUUUUAAGAAAAGUCAUCAGUGCUGAAGUUGAUAGACCACCUUUAAAUGAACCUCCAUACAAAUGAAUUAACUACAUAUUGCAUUUAAGUUAUUUACAUGAAGGGCAUCUGUACUUAAAACAUAUCAGGUGUUAAAAAAGGACAUCUUACAAGAGUCAUGCAAAAUGUCACAUAUACUGUUCUUCCACAAACUGAAAUCAUCACUGGAGAUAUACUGUUCUUCCACAAACUGAGAUCAUCACUGGAGAUAUACUGUUCUUCCACAAACUGAGAUCAUCACUGGAGAUAUACUGUUCUUCCACAAACUGAAAUCAUCACUGGAGAUAUACUGUUCUUCCACAAACUGAAAUCAUCACUGGAGAUAUACUGUUCUUCCACAAACUGAAAUCAUCACUGGAGAUAUACAGUGCCUUGCGAAAGUAUUCGGCCCCCUUGAACUUUGCGACCUUUUGCCACAUUUCAGGCUUCAAACAUAAAGAUAUAAAACUGUAUUUUUUUGUGAAGAAUCAACAACAAGUGGGACACAAUCAUGAAGUGGAACGACAUUUAUUGGAUAUUUCAAACUUUUUUAACAAAUCAAAAACUGAAAAAUUGGGCGUGCAAAAUUAUUCAGCCCCUUUACUUUCAGUGCAGCAAACUCUCUCCAGAAGUUCAGUGAGGAUCUCUGAAUGAUCCAAUGUUGACCUAAAUGACUAAUGAUGAUAAAUACAAUCCACCUGUGUGUAAUCAAGUCUCCGUAUAAAUGCACCUGCACUGUGAUAGUCUCAGAGGUCCGUUAAAAGCGCAGAGAGCAUCAUGAAGAACAAGGAACACACCAGGCAGGUCCGAGAUACUGUUGUGAA
rnacentral:lncRNA from 13 species